UACGUAGGGUGCAAGCGUUAAUCGGAAUUACUGGGCGUAAAGCGUGCGCAGGCGGUUGUGCAAGACCGAUGUGAAAUCCCCGGGCUCAACCUGGGAAUUGCGAUGGAGACUGCAAGGCUAGAAUCUGGCAGAGGGGGGUAGAAUUCCACGUGUAGCAGUGAAAUGCGUAGAGAUGUGGAGGAACACCGAUGGCGAAGGCAGCCCCCUGGGUUAACACUGACGCUCAGGCACGAAAGCGUGGGGAGCAAACAGG
rnacentral:rRNA from 1 species